rnacentral:rRNA from 1 species
GAUGAACGCUAGCGGCAGGCCUAACACAUGCAAGUCGAACGGUAACAGAUCUAGCUUGCUAGAUGCUGACGAGUGGCGCACGGGUGCGUAACGCGUAUGCAACUUACCCCUAACUAGAGAAUAGCCUUUCGAAAGGAAGAAUAAUACUCCAUAAUAUUUCGUCUGUGGCAUCACAGCGUUCUUAAAGACUUCGGCGGUUAGGGAGUGGGCGAUGCGUCCUAUUAGUUUGUUGGUGAGGUAACGGCUCACCAAGACUACGAUAGGUAGGGGGCCGUGAGAGGGUUAUCCCCACCACUGGUACUGAGACACGGACCGAGACUCCUACGGGAGGCAGCAGUGAGGAAUAUUGGUCAAUGGACGAAAGUCUGAACCAGCCAUGCCGCGUGCAGGAUGACGGCCCUAUGGGUUGU